AUUGAACGCUGGCGGCAGGCCUAACACAUGCAAGUCGAGCGGAUGAAGGGAGCUUGCUCCUGGAUUCAGCGGCGGACGGGUGAGUAAUGCCUAGGAAUCUGCGUGGUAGUGGGGGAUAACGUCCGGAAACGGGCGCUAAUACCGCAUACGUCCUGAGGGAGAAAGUGGGGGAUCUUCGGACCUCACGCUAUCAGAUGAGCCUAGGUCGGAUUAGCUAGUUGGUGGGGUAAAGGCCUACCAAGGCGACGAUCCGUAACUGGUCUGAGAGGAUGAUCAGUCACACUGGAACUGAGACACGGUCCAGACUCCUACGGGAGGCAGCAGUGGGGAAUAUUGGACAAUGGGCGAAAGCCUGAUCCAGCCAUGCCGCGUGUGUGAAGAAGGUCUUCGGAUUGUAAAGCACUUUAAGUUGGGAGGAAGGGCAGUAAGUUAAUACCUUGCUGUUUUGACGUUACCAACAGAAUAAGCACCGGCUAGCUUCGUG
rnacentral:rRNA from 1 species